GCCGACAGUUAACUCUCUGCAACUCUUGCAUGGUCGCCCACUGAAGCCAAGUAGGGCUGCGCCUGGUUAGUACCUGGAUGGGACACCACAUGGGAAAGCUAGGUUGCUGCCGGAA
rfam:Danio rerio chromosome 14 genomic contig CTG1748, GRCz11 reference primary assembly.